UGUGAUACCUGGCCACGUGUUUCUGCUUCCUUGAAGACCCCUCAUGGACACACCCAGUCGGCCCUGCCAGCCGCAAAGGUAGCAGGAUCCGGCGUGAAAGCCAGAACUGAACAAUUCCCCAAAUGGGGCCGGCGAUGUGGCUCAGGGGUCGAGCAUUUUCCUGGCACACGCGCGAGACCUGGGGUUCCACCCCCAACACCUCAAAAAGAAGCAGAAGGAAGGAGGAACUCGGAUCAGCCCAAUGAACCAGGGGAGCAACUCGGAGCAGCCGGAGAAGAGGAGGCACGUUCGACAGCCGUGGCCGGGCAGGGACCCACGGGGACCGGUGUCUGUUCAACAGUGAGACGGUGCGAAAGAGGAAAAUAGAGCGGAAGAGUCCCCCCCCCCAUCUCCACACCUGGUCAACCUUCUCAAGAGCAGAAAGAGUCACAGUCUAUUUCAAGUGAACCAGCCAGCAUCCCAAGAUUACACUCGAACCAUGAGCCAAUCACCACGGCUGGGAAAAUACAAGGACCUCACUGGCUUAGCUUCAGUUUCCCGAGCGCUGGCUCUGAGCCUGGGCCUGAAGAUCUUAGCAAACUCGGCACACGAUGAUUUCUUCUUUGCUUAUUAAGUGGAGAACUUUCCCAUUUCACAUUAAGUCAUCCCUAGAGCCGCCGAAGGUGGAGCUGCUUUUUCUGAUGGCAGAAUCACAUCAGGAAGAGAGAGGAUGAACCCUCUAGGGUAAGAAUCCAUCAUGCCACCAAGGUGGAAUGAACGUCUGAAUCAGACUCUCCGAUCACGCGUCCAAACUAAACCCUCCGACACGUGAAUCUCAUGGAGUUACCCUUCGCUGCGAGAACUCAGAGGAGUCCACUGGUACUACCAGUAGCCACCAGGAAGGGGACGGUGCCAUGACACACCAACAGCUGUGCAGGGUGUCCCCGAGUCUCACUGACUUGCCACACAAUGAUUUGUCAAGGAGUUCAGAGCCCUAUGGGCUGGAGGGCACCCUGUUCCACACUGUCAUUCAAGUCCCAGGCUCCUCCUAGCUGAUGGCUCCCUUCUCCGCUAGGACCCUGGGGAUGGUCACAUUUCCUCAUCCGGUGAACUGAGUCACGGCCCUGGUCGCAGGAUCUGCACCCAUAAUUCUCCAGGGGAAGUGCCUGGUGACUCCUGGCGGACUGUGGCUCAGGAAUAGGAGCUACUCAUCCCCUGUCCACUAAAAGGAUGGUGUCCAUUCCCCACCCACCCCUUGGGACUAAGUUAGGCCAUGUGACUUGCAGGAGCAGGAGGCAGGGAUGGCUGAGAGCUGGCUCUGAGUCUGGGACUUCGGAGCCCGUCCUGUCCUCACGUGCCCUUGUGGACACUGGCGGGACCUGCCAGGUCAGCGCGUUGGUACCAGGACAAGGAUGAGAGGUCCCUGGAGCAGAGUGGCCCCACCAGCCUUGAUGGGCUGCCGUCUGUCGCUGUGUAAGUCUCUCUGAGCUCAGCAGAGCCACCAGCCAACCCACCUCCACCCUCCUGGACAUUCCAAGACCCAAGCAGAUGCCUGAGCGGCAGAUAGGACUGAACUCAGCACAGAACAUAUUUUUUCCCUACACAUGCACACCUCGGAUGAUUUAAUUUGUAAAUCAGGCAUGGUAAGAAAUGAAUAAUUAAUUA